GGUUCCGUGGUCUAGUUGGUUAUGUUAUGGCAUCUCGUUAACACCGAGAAGGUCCCCGGUUCGAUCCCGGGCGGAACCA
rnacentral:tRNA from 1 species